rfam:Ictidomys tridecemlineatus contig034095, whole genome shotgun sequence.
UGUGGUGUAGCUUAAGCCGUAGCGCGCUCGCCUCGCAUGCGUGUGGCCUGGGUUCGACCCUCAGCACCACAU